rnacentral:snRNA from 1 species
GUCUUUCAAGAGACAUCUGAUAAAAUUGGAACGAUACAGAGAAGAUUAGAAUGGCCCUGCGCAAGGAUGACACGUACAAAUCAAGAAUUAGUUCAACAAUUUUUU